GCUGUCCUUGGUAGCGCGAGCCUGUAACCCAAGUGGGAGCAUUGAGAUGGUGGAACAGUUGGGCUUGCCUUGAAGGUUGGGUUGGGGUUGCUAUCUACUGGCCUGCCCAUUCCAAUUGGUGAGUUGUAUGGCGGAGUCUCUGCGAAGGCGGAGGCUUCACUGUCCUUAGAUCGGAGGGCACCGCGUGAGGCUGGCUUCACAGAGCAGCGAUAACCUCCCCCUUUCUGCGGUGGAAGGAUAACUGGUCGGUGCAACUUUGGUCCGCCAGCUGCCUGAUUGGCUGCCCAGGUGAACCACCAUCCA
rnacentral:SRP_RNA from 1 species